GUACUGUGUAAAGUCUGAUUGAUAUUUGUAUCUGUUAGAAUUAUUGGUUUAUGUGUGAGUGGGUAUGAGCUGUGUGUGAGUGUGUAUGAGCUGUGUGUGAGUGUGUAUGAGUUGUGUGUGAGUUGUGUUAAGUGUGUUACAACUAGAGAGCACUCUCUCUAGUUCUAUAAAUGUAAGCUUAAGAGUAGAAAUGAAAUAAGAACUUUGAGAAACAUUUUUUUCUCUCUUUUAGAUCUUAAGUUGGUAUCAGAGCGGGUUCAUCCUGCUCUGGUUUUCGUGUGUUGUCCACCAGCACUGUCACUGCUGGUCGCACCUGUCCGGUGCCGUUAGUCGUUGUCUGCGGCUGUCUCGCCACUAUCUGCAGUUGUCAACUGCAGUUUCAAGUUCUUCAACUUGGUUAUCCGCCAUCCAGGUAUCUGUCUGCCGCCGUCCGCCGCCGUCCGCCGUCACAGUUCCGUCCAGCGACCACUGGAUCUGGUUCGCCUCUUCACGCGAAAGCCAACCCCACCGGUGGGUUCGCCUGAUUCUCCUCCACGCUCCGUCACGCGCCGCCGCUUUGUGCGCUGCGAACAAGCGCGUGCUGCCCACGCGCCGCCAUCUGCUCACCGGAAAGUCUCCGCGCCACCUCCAUAGCUGUCGUCCUCAGCUCCUCUGUCCGUUCUGACCCUCAAAAUCUUACUUUAGUGGGUCUAGAAGCUUCUCUUUAAGAAAUCCUUAAGAAACCCUCUAGGGUUUUCGGGUCCUACACGGUUUUUCUUAUUCUUUCUUGAAAAAUGGCAUCUGGAAGUGCUCUUUCUUUCUCUGGAAGUCCCUCAAUCACUUCCGAAAAGCUAAAUGGAAAGAAUUAUAUGUCUUGGUCUGCUGCUGUAGAAAUGUGGUUCCUUGGUCAAGGACGUUAUGACCACCUUGAGCAGGAUGAGAGUCAAGUACCUUCUGACAAAGCUGAACAAUGGAAACAAGCUGAUUUUCAACUGUGUGCCCUAUUGUGGCAAUCUGUGGAACCCCGACUUUUGAUAUCUCUUAGAGCCUUCAAGACAUGUCACACCUUUUGGAAGAAAGCCCAAAGCAUUUAUGCUAAUGAUAUUCAACGUCUCUAUGAUACCGCAAACAAGCUCGCCUGUCUCAAAAUGACAGACCAUGAUAUGGUCUCCUUCAUGACGGAUGCCCAAGCAGCUGUGGAAGAAUUGAGAAUGUUCUUGGAAUCUUCAGAAGAUAUCAAAAAGAAGCUUGACCAGUAUUAUAUGGUAAUGAUCCUACGUGCUUUGCAUCCAGAUUUGAAUCACAUCAGAGAUCAACUUCUGACAAGUCAUGAAGUCCCUUCCUUGGAAGCCUUGACCACACGUCUUCUUCGUGUUCCUGUGCCUCAGUCUCAGGAAACUCAUGAAACAAUAGAACCAUCUGUCAUGGUUGCCACGCGAGGAAGAGGACGUGGAACUAGAGGAGGAGGACGUGGAGGACGUGGAGGUCGGGGACGUCAAUGCUCUUACUGUAACAGGAUGGGUCACACCCAAGAAAACUGCUACUCCUUGCAUGGCUUUCCUUCAAAAACCGCCAAUAUCUCUCAGGCUGAAACUUCCACUUCCAACUCCAAGUUUACUGAGGAAGAGUAUCAAGAGUAUCUGCGCUUAAAGUCUAACAGCUUGGCACAAUCAUCUCAGUCCUCAAGCACAUCCACAACUUGCAUUUCUCAAUCCAUGGCAGGUCCAAAUUCAUGGGUAAUUGACUCGGGUGCUUCUGAUCACAUUUCUGGUAAUACCUCAUUGUUCUCAAAUCUUUCUCUCCAAGAAAAACCUCAUUUCAUUACCCUUGCAAAUGGCUCUAAAACUUGUUCAAAGGGAAUCGGUCAAGUUUCCCUGUCUCCCUCUCUAACUCUAAAAUCCGUUCUUUUUGUUCCUAACUGUCCAUUCAAUUUAAUUUCCCUAAGUCAGUUAACCAAAAUAUUAAACUGUUCAAUAACGUUUGAUUCAAAAUCUUUUGUUAUACAGGAGCGUGGCUCGGGGAGACAGAUUGGAGAAGGAUAUGAAGCUGGAGGUUUAUACCAUUUUGGAUUUCGUCCACGGGUAUCUUGUGUUGCCGCUCUUCCCCCUAAAGUGUUACAUGAUCGGUUUGGCCAUCCUAACUUGUCAAAAUUAAAAAAGAUGUGUCCUGAACUUAGUGGUCUUCAAACUUUAGAAUGUGAGUCCUGUCAACUAGGAAAACAUGUUAGAUCUGUCUUCCCUAAAAGAUCUCAAUCAAUGUGUACUUCUAGUUUUUCUAUUAUUCAUUCUGAUGUCUGGGGACCUAGUCGCGUCUCUUCUUUUGGUUUUCGGUAUUUUGUUACCUUUAUUGAUGAGUAUUCUAGAUGUACUUGGGUUUAUCUGAUGAAAGAUCGCUCUGAAUUGUUACCUAUUUUCACAUCCUUUUUGAAUGAAAUCAAAAACCAAUUUGGCCAAGUAAUUAAAGUCUUAAGAAGUGAUAAUGCUAAAGAGUAUUUCUCAUCAACUUUUUCUUCACUUCUUAGCUCCCAUGGUAUUUUGCAUCAGUCCACUUGUCCUCAUACACCCCAGCAAAAUGGUAUAGCCGAAAGAAAAAAUAGACACUUGGUUGAAACGGCUCGUACUCUUUUGCUUGGUGCUCACAUUCCUAUUCAUCACUGGGGGGAUGCCAUCUUAACUGCAUGUUUUCUUAUUAAUAGAAUGCCCUCCUCCUCUCUCAAUAAUAAAGUUCCUUUCUCCGUUCUCUUUCCCAAUAACCCUCUCUUUCACACCUCUCCUCGAGUCUUUGGUUGUGUUUGUUUUGUUCAUGACAUGUCUCCGGGACUUGACAAGCUCUCUGCUCGUGCGAUCAAAUGUGUCUUUUUGGGCUAUUCUCGACUUCAAAAAGGGUAUCGAUGUUACUCUCCUGAAACCAAGAAAUACUACAUGUCUGCUAAUGUUACCUUCUUUGAACAGACACCUUUCUUCUCUCCAUCUGUUCAAGAUGUUCAUAUCCUCCAACAGGUACUUCCUAUUCCAGUAGUUGAGUCUAAUAUCUCAAAUACCUCAGUCAAUCCAAGUAAUACCCAAGGUCCUCUCGAACCUUCCUCUCCACAUACUGAUAACCUUCGACACAGUACCCCGAUGGAUAAUCCUCUUCCAGAAAAUGGUGGAUCUCCUUCUUCAGAUUCUUCUUCGUCACCAUCUCCUGUCACGCCUCCUGGUGAAGAUGAUUUUGGUUGGCCCAUUGCUCUCAGAAAAGGUAAUCGUUCCACUCGAAAUCCUCAUCCCAUUUAUAAUUUUCUUAGUUAUCACAGAGUGUCGCCCUCCUUUUAUUCACUUUUAUCCUCAGUGUCUCCUGUGGUUAUUCCUAAAACUGUGAAGGAAGCACUUGAUCAUCCUGGAUGGCGACACGCCAUGAUUGAAGAAAUGCAGGCUCUUGACCACAGUCAUACUUGGGAGCUUGUGCCACUUCCCCCAGGCAAAAAGGCUGUUGGUUGUCGAUGGGUAUAUGCAAUUAAAGUCGGUCCUAAUGGUGACAUUGAUAGACUCAAAGCUCGACUGGUUGCAAAAGGGUACACUCAGGUUUAUGGUCUUGAUUAUUGUGAUACCUUCUCUCCUGUGGCAAAGAUGACUACCAUUCGAUUGUUCUUUGCAAUGGCAGCCAUUCGUCAUUGGCCGCUUCAUCAAUUGGAUAUCAAAAAUGCCUUUCUCCAUGGUGAUCUUGAGGAAGAGGUUUAUAUGGAGCAACCUCCUGGGUUUGUUGCUCAGGGGGAGUCUGGGUUUGUUACGACCUAAGGUAGGGGUAAUAAUAAGGGUUGGAAAGUAUAUGAGCAGAAAGAAUAUUUAGUAUAAGUUAAUUAGAGUAAAUAAAUAUAGUAUAAGUUAAUUAGAGUAAAUAAAUAUAUAUUUAGGGAAAUAUUCAAUAUAAGAUAUUUAUAAUUAAGGAUAUAUACUAGAAUAAUAUACGGAGAGAUAUUUAUAUUAAAUAUAGGGAUAUUUAUAUUAAAUAUUAAAUAUAAGGAUAUUUAUAUUAAAUGCAGAUAUAUUCUAGAGGAAUAUUUAAUAAGAGAUGGGCGGGAAUUAAUUAAUAUAAAUAAGGUUAGAGUCCAGGGUUAAAGGACAGGCUUUUGAUUAUUGAGUUUUGUGACAGACAUUAUUGUCUUGUGAGGGAGGUUAUGCUCUCAAAGUAAUUGAAGGAGGUUAUGCUCCCAAUUAUUGUUUAUCCUUGUUAAUUCAGAUAUUACCAUCAAUAAAAGAGAUUCAUUCAUCCAAUAUUAUUCGUUUAUUGUUCUAUUCCGUGUGAGAGAGAGUGAAAGGUUGUAUUUGGCUAGUUUACGUACUCAGGUACGUAACAAUUGGUCCGACCUGCCGGAUCGUCAAGGGAGGAAACUGCCGGAUCGUCAAGGGAGGAAACUGUCGGAUCGUCAAGGGAGGAAACUGCCGGAUCCUAAUAGAGACGAGUGAAAGACAUCAUGGAGGGAAGAAUAAAUGCAGUUGAAGGGAAACUGGAGAGCAUGGAGCAGAGAAUAAAGAACAUGGAGUUCUCCCUAAGGAGGUUGAAGGCAGAGUUGAGUGGAAUACGCCAUGAAGUCCAAGCUCCAAAUGGGAAGGGACUGCUGGAACCAAACGAUAGUGGACUAACGGAUCCGAACGUGAGCGAACGGCCAGAACUGAACGAUAGCAGACUGCUGGAUCCGAACGUGAAAGAACGGACGGAACCUAUAGAGAGAGGACUUACCGAGCCGAACGGGAGGAGACGGCCAGAACCGAGCGUGAGAAAACUACCUGAACCAAACGGUCUAGUAUUGGAAGGAAGGAUGAAGGCUUUGGAAGGAAGGGCAAAUGGAAGAAUCAAUACCCUGGAGAGAACAAUGGAGUCUGUGAAGAGAUGGGCCGACAAAAAGAACAGGGGGCUUGCAGUGUUUGGUACACUGGCAGAAGGAAGAGCGCGACGUGAAGUACUGAAAGACAUUGAAAACCAUUCCCUCAGGGCUUAUGAUUUAGGAGAAGUGGUAACGAGAAUGCUGGAUGAAGAAUGGAAGACAUUAGAGAAGGUUUUACCACCACCCGAACCUCCAGACAUGAAUUGAUGAGGAGCCAUGAGGUCCAGCUCCCUGUUUCCAACCUUGAGGACAAGGUUGUUUUGCAGCGGGGUGUAAUGUUACAACCUAAGGUAGGGGUAAUAAUAAGGGUUGGAAAGUAUAUGAGCAGAAAGAAUAUUUAGUAUAAGUUAAUUAGAGUAAAUAAAUAUAGUAUAAGUUAAUUAGAGUAAAUAAAUAUAUAUUUAGGGAAAUAUUCAAUAUAAGAUAUUUAUAAUUAAGGAUAUAUACUAGAAUAAUAUACGGAGAGAUAUUUAUAUUAAAUAUAGGGAUAUUUAUAUUAAAUAUUAAAUAUAAGGAUAUUUAUAUUAAAUGCAGAUAUAUUCUAGAGGAAUAUUUAAUAAGAGAUGGGCGGGAAUUAAUUAAUAUAAAUAAGGUUAGAGUCCAGGGUUAAAGGACAGGCUUUUGAUUAUUGAGUUUUGUGACAGACAUUAUUGUCUUGUGAGGGAGGUUAUGCUCUCAAAGUAAUUGAAGAAGGUUAUGCUCCCAAUUAUUGUUUAUCCUUGUUAAUUCAGAUAUUACCAUCAAUAAAAGAGAUUCAUUCAUCCAAUAUUAUUCGUUUAUUGUUCUAUUCCGUGUGAGAGAGAGUGAAAGGUUGUAUUUGGCUAGUUUACGUACUCAGGUACGUAACAGGUUUAUAUGGAGCAACCUCCUGGGUUUGUUGCUCAGGGGGAGUCUGGUAUGGUUUGUAAAUUGAACCGAUCUCUAUAUGGGCUCAAGCAAUCACCACGUGCUUGGUUUGGAAAGUUUAGCUCCAUUGUUCAAAAAUUUGGGCUACGACGCAGUGAAGCAGAUCAUUCAGUCUUUUAUUAUCAUUCAUCUCCAGGGAAAUGUGUUUACUUGAUAGUAUAUGUUGAUGAUAUAGUUAUUACAGGAAAUGAUACUGCUGGAAUAUCUCAACUGAAGGAGUAUUUGUGUAGACAUUUCCAAACCAAGGAUCUUGGGAGCCUCAAAUACUUCCUAGGCAUUGAAGUAGCUCAGUCAAAAGAUGGAGUUGUAAUCUCCCAAAGGAAGUAUGCUCUGGAUAUUUUGCAAGAAACAGGCAUGAUUGAUUGUAGACCGGUUGAUAGCCCUAUGGAUCCAAAUCAAAAAUUGACAACAGAAGAAGGUGAGUUAUUCUCCGACCCAGAGAGAUAUAGGAGGCUAGUUGGGAAACUAAUCUAUCUUACUAUUACAAGGCCGGAUCUAUCUUUUGCAGUUGGAGUGGUUAGUCAGUUCAUGCAAGCUCCAUGUGUUGGCCAUUGGAAUGCUAUCAUUCGCAUUCUAAGGUAUGUAAAAAAGGCUCCUGGGCAAGGGCUGUUAUAUGAAGAAAAAGGAAGCCUUCAGGUAUCAGGAUAUUGUGAUGCUGAUUGGGCAGGUUCUCCUAUUGAUAGACGAUCUACUACUGGAUAUUGUGUUUUCCUUGGAGGAAACAUUAUCUCAUGGAAAAGUAAGAAACAAAAUGUAGUGGCUCGAUCAACAGCUGAAGCUGAAUAUAGGGCAAUGGCUUCAUUAACAUGUGAACUUAUAUGGGUAAAGCAGUUCCUUCAAGAACUUAACUUCUGUGACAUCCAGAGUAUGAAGAUGUAUUGUGAUAACCAAGCUGCUCUUCACAUUGCAUCAAAUCCAGUGUUUCACGAGAGAACCAAACAUAUAGAAAUUGAUUGUCAUUUUGUUCGGGAAAAGUUAUUGUCAAAAGAAAUAUGUACUGAGUUUGUUGGAUCAAAUGACCAACUCGCAGAUAUGUUGACUAAGUCAUUAAGGGGACCUCGGAUUGAGUUUAUUUGUUCCAAGCUUAGCACAUACAAUUUGUAUGCUCCAGCUUGAGGGGGAGUGUUAGAAUUAUUGGUUUAUGUGUGAGUGGGUAUGAGCUGUGUGUGAGUGUGUAUGAGCUGUGUGUGAGUGUGUAUGAGUUGUGUGUGAGUUGUGUUAAGUGUGUUACAACUAGAGAGCACUCUCUCUAGUUCUAUAAAUGUAAGCUUAAGAGUAGAAAUGAAAUAAGAACUUUGAGAAACAUUUUUUUCUCUCUUUUAGAUCUUAAGUGUAUCAACCUGAAGUUGUUUCUUGUGUUAAGUUAUUUCUUCGUCUGAUCUUCAUGGAUUUUCUUUUUCUUUUCUUCAUAUAUGUAAAAAAUCAAAAUCUUAUGAAUCAAAAGUAACAAGAUUUACUCACCAAAAGUGGCAAUCGAUCAUAUAAACCUAAUCCCCGGCUAACUCGAGCGCUAGAUAUUAUCUUCAUCCUGCAUGCAGAACAUGAAA